CGCGGUAAUACGUAGGUGGCAAGCGUUGUCCGGAAUUAUUGGGCGUAAAGCGCGCGCAGGCGGCUUCUUAAGUCUGAUGUGAAAUCUCGGGGCUCAACCCCGAGCGGCCAUUGGAAACUGGGGAGCUUGAGUGCAGAAGAGGAGAGUGGAAUUCCACGUGUAGCGGUGAAAUGCGUAGAGAUGUGGAGGAACACCAGUGGCGAAGGCGACUCUCUGGUCUGUAACUGACGCUGAGGCGCGAAAGCGUGGGGAGCAAACAGGAUUAGAUACCCUGGUAGUCCACGCCGUAAACGAUGAGUGCUAGGUGUUAGGGGUUUCGAUGCCCGUAGUGCCGAAGUUAACACAUUAAGCACUCCGCCUGGGGAGUACGGCCGCAAGGCUGAAACUCAAAGGAAUU
rnacentral:rRNA from 2 species